rnacentral:tRNA from 1 species
GGGCCCUUAGCUCAGACGGUUAGAGCAGCUGACUCAUAAUCAGCGGGUCGUUGGUUCGAUACCAACAGGGCCCA